rnacentral:rRNA from 1 species
AGUUGAACGGUAACAGGAGUAGCAAUACUUGCUGACGAGUAGCGCACGGGUGCGUAACGCGUAUGCAAUCUACCUUUAACAGGUGAAUAGCCCGAAGAAAUUCGGAUUAGAACACCAUAGUAUAGUGAAUCGGCAUCGAUUUAUUAUUAAAACUCCGGUGGUUAAAGAUGAGCAUGCGUGACAUUAGCUAGUUGGUGAGGUAAUGGCUCACCAAGGCAACGGUGUCUAGGGGAUCUGAGAGGAUUAACCCCCACACUGGUACUGAGACACGGACCAGACUCCUACGGGAGGCAGCAGUAAGGAAUAUUGGACAAUGGUGGCAACACUGAUCCAGCCAUGCCGCGUGAAGGAUGAAGGCCCUAUGGGUUGUAAACUUCUUUUGUACGGGAAAAAACCUCUUUACGUGUAAAGAGCUGAUUGUACUGUAAGAAUAAGGAUCGGCUAACUCCGUGCCAGCAGCCGCG